CCCCCCGGGCUUAAUUGCAGUGGAAUGAUGUGGAAACAUGUCAGUGAGCAAUCACCGCUGUGAAGGUGCUGCAUGGUUGUCGUCAGCUCGUGCCGUGAGGUGUCGGCUUAAGUGCCAUAACGAGCGCAACCCUUAUCUUCAGUUACUAACAGGUCAUGCUGAGGACUCUGGAGAGACUGCCGUCGUAAGAUGUGAGGAAGGUGGGGAUGACNUCAAAUCAGCACGGCCCUUACGUCCGGGGCUACACACGUGUUACAAUGGGGGGUACAGAAGGCAGCUAGCGGGUGACCGUAUGCUAAUCCCAAAAGCCUCUCUCAGUUCGGAUCAAAGUCUGCAACCCGACUUCGUGAAGCUGGAUUCGCUAGUAAUCGCGCAUCANCCACGGCGCGGUGAAUACGUUCCCGGGUCUUGUACACACCG
rnacentral:rRNA from 1 species